rnacentral:rRNA from 1 species
AAGGAUCAUUAUCGUGUUCCUGCCCUCUGGGUAGAAACCCCACCCUGUGUUUAAACCCUAUCUUUGUUUCCCUGGCGAGCCGCCUCAGGGCGCUGGCUCCGGCCGGAUCGUGCUCGUCGGGGACAUUCAAACCCUGUUUACAAGUCUGUCCGAGUACUAUAUCAAUAGUUAAAACUUUCAACAACGGAUCUCUUGGCUCUGGCAUCGAUGAAGAACGCAGCGAAAUGCGAUAAGUAAUGUGAAUUGCAGAAUUUAGUGAAUCAUCGAAUCUUUGAACGCACAUUGCGCCCCUUGGUAUUCCGAGGGGCAUGCCUGUCCGAGCGUCAUUACAACCCCUCCAGCUUGCUGGGUCUUGGGCCUCGCCUUCGGGCGGGCCUUAAAAUCAGUGGCGGCUCUGUCGGACCCUGAGCGUAGUAACUUCUCUCGCUAUAGGGCUUCGGUAGGUGCUGGCCAGCAACCCCCCCUCUUUCUAAUGGUUGACCUCGGAUCAGGUAGGGAUACCCGCUGAACUUAA